rnacentral:rRNA from 1 species
CACCGCCCGUCACACCACGAAAGUCGGCUGCACCAGAAGUCGUUAUACCAACCUUGUCCAAACGAGGAGGGAGACGCCUAAGGUGUGGUUGAUGAUUGGGGUG